CAUUGGGAAUGAGAUAUCCCAAGUAGAGAACUCUACCAGCAGUCGAGAAUAUUAGUCAAUGCUCGCAAGAGUGAACUAGCUAACUGGAAUCAUGGGUGUGUCACUCAUGAUUUGUUGAAGGAAAAAUGAUGAUGUCACUUUUACAAAUAGUGUUGUCCAAAGCUGGUGCCAGAAGACUCGGUAAGGCCAGAGACGCAAGCGUUAAUCAUCCUGAUCAGGCGUAAAGGGUUUGUAGGCAGCUUUAAAUUAAUUAAAGAUUGAAUCAAAUAGAGGUCAAGAGAAUUCCUAGAUUAGGGUUGAUAUCUGUAUAAACUAGGAAGAAUUCUAAUUAGCGAAGGCACUUUUCUAUCUAAUGAUUGACGCUGAGAAACGAAGGGGAGGAUCGACAAUAGGAUUAGAUACCCUGGCAUCCCUCUCUGUAAACGAUGAAUGGUAGUUGCUAAUAAUAAUAAUUAGUGACGAGGCUAACGCGUUAACCAUUCCGCCUUGUGAGUACGACUGCAAAGUUGAAAACAAAAAAAUUAGUCGGUUUCGGAGCAA
rnacentral:rRNA from 1 species